UCCUACGGGAGGCAGCAGUGGGGAAUUUUGGACAAUGGGCGAAAGCCUGAUCCAGCAAUGCCGCGUGUGUGAAGAAGGCCUUCGGGUUGUAAAGCACUUUUGUCCGGAAAGAAAUCCUUGGCUCUAAUACAGUCGGGGGAUGACGGUACCGGAAGAAUAAGCACCGGCUAACUACGUGCCAGCAGCCGCGGUAAUACGUAGGGUGCGAGCGUUAAUCGGAAUUACUGGGCGUAAAGCGUGCGCAGGCGGUUUGCUAAGACCGAUGUGAAAUCCCCGGGCUCAACCUGGGAACUGCAUUGGUGACUGGCAGGCUAGAGUAUGGCAGAGGGGGGUAGAAUUCCACGUGUAGCAGUGAAAUGCGUAGAGAUGUGGAGGAAUACCGAUGGCGAAGGCAGCCCCCUGGGCCAAUACUGACGCUCAUGCACGAAAGCGUGGGGAGCAAACAGGAUUAGAUACCCUGGUAGUCCACGCCCUAAACGAUGUCAACUAGUUGUUGGGGAUUCAUUUCCUUAGUAACGUAGCUAACGCGUGAAGUUGACCGCCUGGGGAGUACGGUCGCAAGAUUAAAACUCAAAGGAAUUGACGGGGACCCGCACAAGCGGUGGAUGAUGUGGAUUAAUUCGAUGCAACGCGAAAAACCUUACCUACCCUUGACAUGGUCGGAAUCCCGCUGAGAGGUGGGAGUGCUCGAAAGAGAACCGGCGCACAGGCGCUGCAUGGCUGUCGUCAGCUCGUGUCGUGAGAUGUUGGGUUAAGUCCCGCAACGAGCGCAACCCUUGUCCUUAGUUGCUACGCAAGAGCACUCUAAGGAGACUGCCGGUGACAAACCGGAGGAAGGUGGGGAUGACGUCAAGUCCUCAUGGCCCUUAUGGGUAGGGCUUCACACGUCAUACAAUGGUCGGAACAGAGGGUUGCCAACCCGCGAGGGGGAGCUAAUCCCAGAAAACCGAUCGUAGUCCGGAUUGCACUCUGCAACUCGAGUGCAUGAAGCUGGAAUCGCUAGUAAUCGCGGAUCAGCAUGCCGCGGUGAAAAAGAUCCAGGGCCUUGUACACACCGC
rnacentral:rRNA from 1 species